CGUAGGUGACCUGCGGAGGGAUCAUUACAAGUGACCCCGGUCUAACCACCGGGAUGUUCAUAACCCUUUGUUGUCCGACUCUGUUGCCUCCGGGGCGACCCUGCCUUCGGGCGGGGGCUCCGGGUGGACACUUCAAACUCUUGCGUAACUUUGCAGUCUGAGUAAACUUAAUUAAUAAAUUAAAACUUUUAACAACGGAUCUCUUGGUUCUGGCAUCGAUGAAGAACGCAGCGAAAUGCGAUAAGUAAUGUGAAUUGCAGAAUUCAGUGAAUCAUCGAAUCUUUGAACGCACAUUGCGCCCCCUGGUAUUCCGGGGGGCAUGCCUGUUCGAGCGUCAUUUCACCACUCAAGCCUCGCUUGGUAUUGGGCAACGCGGUCCGCCGCGUGCCUCAAAUCGACCGGCUGGGUCUUCUGUCCCCUAAGCGUUGUGGAAACUAUUCGCUAAAGGGUGUUCGGGAGGCUACGCCGUAAAACAACCCCAUUUCUAAGGUUGACCUCGGAUCAGGUAGGGAUACCCGCUGAACUUAAGCAUAUCAUA
rnacentral:rRNA from 1 species